CUUUUUUUUUUUUUUUUCUUUUUUUUUUUUUUUUUAGGGCUGCCUCCACAGCAUAUGGAUGUUUCCAGGCUAGAUGUCAAAUCAGAGCUACAGCUGUUGGUCUACGCCACCAUCAUAGUAAUGCUGGAUCUGAGCCACAUCUUCGACCUAGAGCUCACAGCAAUGCCAGAUCCCCAAUCCACCGAGUGAGUCCAGGGAUUGAACCCACAUACUCAUGGAUACUAUUCGGAUUCGUUUCCACUACACUACAACGGGAACUCCAGGCAUUUCUCAGAGACCUGUGCUAAGAAGUUUGUCAGGCUGAGGUUGACUCCAAGUCCAGCAACUCCAAUCUGGCACCCUUCACAGCUUUAAAGUCAAUGGAUUUUGCAGAAAUUUGAAUACAGACUGGGUAUUAGUGUAUUCUAAGGAAUUAAUACUAUUCUAAGAAAUUAAUGUUAAAUUUGUCAGAGGUGAUCAUAGCAAGAAAAAGUCUCAAAUUUUCAGAUGCGUAUGUAAGAAUUUAGGAAUGAAAUGGUGGGACCUUAGGUAUUUGCUCUUUAAAAAUCAGAGGAAAAGAAGAAAGUAAAGCAUAUAUGACCAAAUUGUCAGGAAUUAUUGAAUCAGGGGCUCACCAUUCAGUCAAGGUGGUUCAUUAUGCCAUUCUCUCAGUUUGGGUGUGUUUUAUACUUUUUAAAUUAAAUUAAAUUAAAUUUAUUUAUUUAUUUUUGGUCUUUUUGCCUUUUUCUAGGGCUGCACCCAGGGCAUAUGAAGGUUCCCAGGCUAGGGGUCUAAUUGGAGCCACAUCUGCGACCCACACACCACAGCUCAUGGCAACGCCGGAUCCUUAACCCACUGAGCAGGGCCAGGGAUAGAACCCGCAACUUCAUGGUUCCUAGUCAGAUUCAUUAACCACUGAGCCAUGAUGGGAACUCCUCUACUUUUUUAAAAAUCUGGGCCACAGCAGUGAAAGUGCUGAAUCCUAACCACUAGACCACCACGGGACUCCCAAUAAAUCUUAUAAUAGAAAAGUUGAAUAUUUUUGAUAAAUAACAGUUAUCACCUAAUAGAAGCAAAGGGGAGGGAAACUUACCUGCAGGCAGCAUUCCCACCGAGGCAGAGGGUAGGCAGCCCUGUCCUUAGCCAGGAGGAGAGCAGGCAAAAGGGCAUUGGACUUACACCUAUUUUACCUACAGGACCUUUGCUAGGUGCCCUGAGGGCCCUGGUCUGCAUCAACAGCUGUCCUCAGGGAAUUUACCUGGACUGGGAAGAAAGCGUGUGGAUAAUUUAUGCCUCCCCCGCCCCAAGGAAACAGGCACAGGUACCCCACUGGAACAGCUAGGCUUCAGAAGAGGUUUCAAGGGCUUGUGGUCCUCCCCCAAAAGUUCAUUACGUUUCUUCUGUUAUCUCUCUUUCGUCUAUAAAGAGGAGGCAAGACCAAGGCCAAAUCCAAGGCCUCCCUAUCAUUCUGUUCUUAAUCUCAGGCCUGGUGUCCUUGAUCUUGGUUAUUCUUUUUUUUUUUUUUAAUUUUUUUUAUAUUACUCAAAUGAAUUUAUCACAUCUGUAGUUGUAUAAUGAUCAUAACAAUCUGAUUUCACAGGAUUUCCAUCCCCACAGCCCAAGCACAUCCCCCCACCCCCCAAACUCUCCUCCAGAGACCAUGUUUUUCAAUGUCUGUGAAUCACCAUCUGUUCUGCAAAGAAGUUCGAGUCUGUCCUUUUUUCAGAUUCCACAUGUCAGUGAAAGCAUUUGAUGUUGGUGUCUCAUUGUAUGGCUGGCUUCACUUAGCAUGAUAGUUUCUAGGUCCAUCCAUGUUGCAAAAAAUGCUGGUAUUUCCUUCUUUUAACGGCUGAGUAAUAUUCCAUUGUGUAUAUGUACCACAUCUUCUUGAUCCACUCCUCUUGGUUAGUUUAUNGUUGGAUGGUACAUUUUCAUUUUUUUUUUUUGUCUUUUUGCUAUUUCUUUGGGCCACUCCUGCGGCAUAUGGAGGUUCCCAGGCUAGGGGUCGAAUUGGAGCUGUAGCCACCGGCCUACGCCAGAGCCACAGCAACACGGGGUUAGUUUAUUCUUAAUUCCCUCCACUCCCCACCACCCCACACAGGUAGCCCCUUUCAUUAGUUUCCUUCCAGAGUUUCUUUUUAUCAGUGUAAACAAAUGCAAAAAUACAUUCUCCAACCGACAUAAAACAAACAGCAAAGCAAACUGAAAAUAUAGAAAACUGGAGUUCUCUUAUGGCACAGUAGUUUAAGGAUCCAGUGUUGUCACUGCAGGGGCUUGGGUUGCUGCUGUGGUGCAGGUUCUAUCCAUGGCCCGGAAACUUCCACAUGCUGUGGGCAGGACCAAAAAAAAGGAAGAAAAAAGAAUUGCAAUGUUCCAGGUAAAGAGUGAAGUGAGUCUGGGAGUUGUUAGCAUAUAGAUUAGCUCUAAAGCCAAAGGAGUGGAAGAGAUAACAGAUAACAGAGGAAGAAGACCCAAAGGACUACACCGUAGAGUCAGCUGCAGGAAAUAAACAAAGAGGCAGAAGGAAAAACCCAAAGGAAGAUUUUGAGAGAAGUCUAUUGUGUUACCUGCUUCUAAUAUGUGAAUAGAUCUGCAUGAACCAACCUGGAAAGAGAGCCAUGUAAAAGAGAGAGUUUAGAGUAAAAUAUACGUUAUGAUCCCACUUUUGCAAAAUUGUUAUGUAUAUACACAUGCUCAGGGAGCAGAAAGAAGCCUGGAAGACUUUUUUAUUUUUUUUUAAUUUUCUUAAAAUAUAGUUGGUUUACAAUGUUGUGCCAAUGACUGCUGUGCAGCCAAGUGACCCAGUCAUAUAUAUAUAUAAAUACACACAUAUUCUUUUUCUUAUAUUAUCUUCCAUCAUGUUCUAGCCCAAGAGAUUGGAUAUAGUUCCCUGUGCUAUAUAUACAGUAGGACCUCAUUGCUUAUCCAUUCUAAAUGUAUAGUUUGCACCUACUAACCCCAAACUCCCAGUCCAUCCCACUCCCUCCCCACCCCCCUGGGCAACCGCAAGGCUGUUCUCCAUGU
ensembl:lncRNA